UAGCUCAACAGAGACCUUCAAAUAGAAAAAGAAGAGACUGACUUCUGGCUGCCAGCCUGAGCCGUGGAGUGUGCUGGCUACAGUCAGGGAAAGAGUGGGGAGAGCGUCCCCCAACCCCUCCCACCCUGUGAGGCCUCAUCAUGCUGAUGUGACAUCGAAGUGCAAGCAAAAAGAAAAUGUAGAUUGGAGACAUAAAAACAGCUGAAAAGUAUUUUCAAGACGUUGAGAAAGUGACACAGAAAUUAGAUGGACUACAGGGUAAAAUCAUGGUUUUGAUGAACAGCGCGUUCCUUCACCUCGGGCAGAAUAACUUCGCAGAAGCCCACAGGUUCUUCACAGAGAUCUUAAGGAUGGAUCCAACAAACGCAGUGGCCAACAACAACGCUGCCGUGUGUCUGCUCUACCUGGGCAAGCUGAAGGACUCCCUGCGGCAGCUGGAGGCCAUGGUCCAGCAGGACCCCAGGCACUACCUGCACGAGAGCGUGCUCUUCAACCUGACCACCAUGUACGAGCUGGAGUCCUCGCGGAGCAUGCAGAAGAAACAGGCCCUGCUGGAGGCUGUCGCCGGCAAGGAGGGGGACAGCUUUAACACGCAGUGCCUCAAGCUGGCCUAGCUGCCUCCAACACACUACGUCAGAAGGACCCGGGUCUUUGAAACUGUGUCAUGAAGCUAAUGUAUUAAUGUGACAUGGAGGAACUCAAUAAAACUCCUGCUUCACU
rnacentral:sRNA from 1 species